GCAUAGCCGUGAAUUUAAAGCGCCCGUCUGCCUUUGGCUCCUCCGUGUUCAGGCUGGGAAAGGCUGUUUUAAAAGUGGCUAUUGGAAUGGUGCUUCCCAGUUGUUUAUUUUAACCACUGGUUAAUCAAGACCCAGUGAUUCUGUUGCUUGCUCUACAUGGACACCUGAAUAGUUGCUAUUUCAUGAGCUAUGACUGUAACAACAGGAAAGAACUCAAAGGAGUUUUACAGGACAGUCCAAGUGGCAGUGGCUGCACAGUGGUGAUGUCCCCUUGAGCAGGGGUGCCUCCCAAGGCCACUCCUCAAGACCAAGAGAUCCCUU